UAAAGCCUGUUGAAGAUGCAAUCUCAUAUAUUCUGUCAGGUGGAGACAAGCCAUGGUUUGCAGUGAGAUUUAUCAAUAAUAUCAAAGGAAGAGGAGUGUUUGCUACCGAGGCAAUCGAGCAAGGUUCUUUUGUGUUGGAGUACAGGGGUGAAUUCAUAUCAGCAGAAGAAUGCAGAUCAAGGAACUACUCAGAGACACAGAGUACAUUUCUGUAUGAGUUUGAUUGGCAGAAACGCCAGUGGUGUAUUGAUGCAUCCAAGGAAGACGGCUCCCUUGGAAGAUUAGUGAACGACAACCACAAAUCUCCGAACUGCGUCAUGAAAAAAGUUACAGUGAACAACAG